UUUAGUAUUUGGUCGUAGACCCGAAACCAGGUGAUCUACCCUUGGUCAGGUUGAAGUUCAGGUAACACUGAAUGGAGGACCGAACCGACUUACGUUGAAAAGUGAGCGGAUGAACUGAGGGUAGCGGAGAAAUUCCAAUCGAACCUGGAGAUAGCUGGUUCUCUCCGAAAUAGCUUUAGGGCUAGCCUCAAGUGAUGAUUAUUGGAGGUAGAGCACUGUUUGGACGAGGGGCCCCUCUCGGGUUACCGAAUUCAGACAAACUCCGAAUGCCAAUUAAUUUAACUUGGGAGUCAGAACAUGGGUGAUAAGGUCCGUGUUCGAAAGGGAAACAGCCCAGACCACCAGCUAAGGUCCCAAAAUAUAUGUUAAGUGGAAAAGGAUGUGGCGUUGCCCAGACAACUAGGAUGUUGGCUUAGAAGCAGCCAUCAUUUAAAGAGUGCGUAAUAGCUCACUAGUCGAGUGACACUGCGCCGAAAAUGUACCGGGGCUAAACAUAUUACCGAAGCUGUGGAUUGUCCUUUGGACAAUGGUAGGAGAGCGUUCUAAGGGCGUUGAAGCAUGAUCGUAAGGACAUGUGGAGCGCUUAGAAGUGAGAAUGCCGGUGUGAGUAGCGAAAGACGGGUGAGAAUCCCGUCCACCGAUUGACUAAGGUUUCCAGAGGAAGGCUCGUCCGCUCUGGGUUAGUCGGGUCCUAAGCUGAGGCCGACAGGCGUAGGCGAUGGAUAACAGGUUGAUAUUCCUGUACCACCUAUA
rnacentral:rRNA from 1 species